GACGAACGCUGGCGGCGUGCCUAACACAUGCAAGUUGAGCGACGAACCAGGGCUUGCCCUGGGGCAAAGCAGCGAACGGGUGAGUAACACGUGGGUAACCUACCCCGAUAACCGGGACAACCCGAGGAAACUCGGGCUAAUACCGGAUGUGCUCACUGGACUUCGGUUCAGUGCGUAAAGGAAGCUUCGGCCUCCGUAUCGGGAGGGGCCCGCGGCCCAUUAGUUUGUUGGUGAGGUAACGGCUCACCAAGACCGCGAUGGGUAGCUGGUCUGAGAGGACGAUCAGCCACACUGGGACUGAGACACGGCCCAGACUCCUACGGGAGGCAGCAGUGGGGAAUCUUGCGCAAUGCGCGAAAGCGUGACGCAGCAACGCCGCGUGGGGGAAGAAGGCCUUCGGGUUGUAAACCCCUUUCAGGAGGGACGAAGGUUCGGCGGUGAAUAGCCGUCCGGACUGACGGUACCUCCACAAGAAGCCCCAGCUAACUACGUG
rnacentral:rRNA from 1 species